CAGCAGCCGCGGGAAAACGUAGGGUGCAAGCGUUAAUCGGAAUUACUGGGCGUAAAGCGUGCGCAGGCGGUUAUAUAAGUCAGAUGUGAAAUCCCCGGGCUCAACCUGGGAACUGCAUUUGAGACUGUAUGGCUAGAGUGUGUCAGAGGGGGGUAGAAUUCCACGUGUAGCAGUGAAAUGCGUAGAUAUGUGGAGGAAUACCGAUGGCGAAGGCAGCCCCCUGGGAUAACACUGACGCUCAUGCACGAAAGCGUGGGGAGCAAACAGGAUUAGAUACCCGUGUAGUCCCUGUCUCUUAUAC
rnacentral:rRNA from 1 species